rnacentral:lncRNA from 14 species
CAGAAACCACCUUACAGAUUGCUUCUUGUCUGCCUGUCGUGGAGGCCUCUGGAAAUGCCUUCCAAGGUUCCUUCUUCUAUCAGAGCACUGAAAACACCCUGUUUGUUGAGAGAGAGUGCUUGGCCUCUGUGGGAAGUUUUGUUCUGCUGUUGAUCCACUGCCUGGCCCACAUCGCUACUGGGGACUUU